rnacentral:misc_RNA from 1 species
ACCCUGAAGUUCAUCUGCACCACCG